AAAACACUCCGUGCUUGUUCACUUUCAUCCUUUUCGCUUAUUUCUUUUUCCAACUCAUUUUCAAAUCCUCUUUCUUUUACCAUAUCAUUCAUUUCUUUUGACUCUCGUUUCUUUCUUCAAUCUCACUCUCUUUUUCAGUUUUCUUUUCUUUUUCACACUCAUUUUUAUUCUCAAUCUCAUUUUCAAUUUUCUUUUCUAUC
rnacentral:lncRNA from 1 species